rnacentral:lncRNA from 1 species
AGCAAGUGUAAUUGAAGGGAAAUGCUCUAUCCAGAUACCAAGAGGACUAGUCACGAGACCAGGCCUCAAAACAGGAAAAUGGUUCCAAUGGAGAAGUAGAGUAUGAGUCAAGAAUUGAGAGAUGAGCAAUAUACAUUAGCAUUAUAAAACACUAAAGAAAGUAUACAUGCCUAGAGCCUCUGAGGCACACUACAAAGAAGAUGACCUGAAAAGUGACUGCUUACAGGGUCCACAUAUAGGUGACAUGAAAGUUCCCUCAGCCUUGUCAGUAUGAAUGAGCCUGUAAAGUGAAGAUGAAUGAGAAAGGGAUUAGAUGAGUCAUCUGAGUCUGUAAGGCCCUUGCAACAAGAGCAUGAAGAUGAUAAAAGAGGACAGAAAGGGAACAAGUUGGGUGAAAAGAAAACAAUGAAUUAGGGUGAAAAGAUCAAGCCAGUGACCAAACUCUCUACAACUAGAAAAGACUUAUCAGUUUCUCAUUUAAGAAGCCAAAUAAGAUAUCAUUUACAUCAAAAAUGAAAAAAUAAGGGGGCAUCUACUUUCUAUAAUAACGACCUGGGAAACUCAGACCAUCCUUCCUUCUGAGGACGCUGAAAAAAACUGAAUCCAAGAACUAACAACAUAUUAAGGAACUGCCAGGUGGUGACCCAGCAUGCUAAGAACACAGCAAGGAAUUCGAAGUUGUUUUAACAUUAGAAAAUCAACUGAUGUGAUUCAGCACAUUUACUGAAUAUUAUGAUGACCUGGGCAGAGUCAGAAAAGACAACUGACAAAAUUCAGAUCCUGUUGAGAUAAAUAUUAGCAAACAACCUAGAAAAUCAAGCAUUAUAUUUAAUGGUGAAACAUUAAACAUUUCCUUCUGAGACUUGGAAUGGACAAGGAUGACAUCAUUACUUCUAUUCAACGUUGUACUGAAGGCCCCAGACACUACAGUAAGACAAAAACAGAAUGGAAGAUAAAAGGAUUGGAAAGAAAGAAACCAAACUGUCAUAACUCACAGAUCAGGUAGUGGCUAUAUGCAUACUGGCUUUGUAAUCGUUGCUUAAGCCGUAUUUGUGCUGUGCAUUUUUUAUUAACUCCUAUGCAUCGCCAGGACCCUGAAGGUGUCAUACUCUUCCUGACAGGACCUACCAGCUUGACGGAGAGCUCUAUCCCCAUUUCCUAAAGAAGAAACCUGAUCCUUGGAAAUGUUCAGUGGCUGCCCCAAGGUAAUACAGCUGGUAAAUGAUGUCGGCACAACCUCUUGUGCUCUUGCCUCCUGCCACAAGAACAUAUGUCCCAGAAAAGGGCCACUCCAUCAGCCUAGGUCCAGAAAUGAGAGGACACAUGGACUGAACUUGAAGAUGGCCCACAGCAGACCUGCAGUCAACUCUCAGCCUUUAUGUAAUGCGGGAAAGAAGGAAAUGUGAAUAUUAUAGACUACUAAAAUUCUAAAGUUGUAACAUAGCAAAAUGAUCGAUACAAUUAGCAGUGGCAAUCAGUCUAGCAUAUUGUCAUGCUAUAUGCAUGCUAUAAAACUAUUGAACAAAAAUAUCACUAUCCUAUCAUGGACACAUUGGACUUUUCUUUUCUCCUUAUGACUGCAUCACGUGUGAUGAUCAGAAAUGGAGUGAAGACAGAAAAAUAAGAAAAUUCAAGAAUGUGCUACAGAGUGAUCCUCUCCCUCUUAGAGCACCCACAGAAACCACUCAUGGCUUCUCUGUCUGCAUCCUCUCCACACAAACAUAUUCUUUAAGGUACCAGCCCCAUAUCACAUACCUGUAUGUCAGCCCAUAAUAGGCCUUACCUUAGAAGCCAAAGAUCCAUAACUACACAGUAUUCAUGUUGUAUAAUGUGGAGCAGCACCAAA